rnacentral:tRNA from 1 species
GAUGGUGUAGCUUAGUGGUAAAGUUUCUGCUUAGCAUGCUCCAGACCCUGGGUUUGAUCCCCAGCACCACA